AUGAUGAGGUGCACGUUGAGCUCGUGCAGGAGAAGCUCUAUAUGCAAGGCUUCGACGAGAAGGGACGCCCGCUGGUGUACCUCUUCCUCGCUCGUCACUUCCCCGCCAAGCGCGACCUCGAUGAGUUCAAGCGCUACGUCAUCUACAUCCUCGACAACACCUGCACCAGGUUGCGGACAGGACAAGAAAAGUUUGCGGUUGUGGGGGACCUUCGGGGUUGGGGGCACGCGAAUUGCGACAUCCGAGCAUAUGUGGCGGCGUUGGAUAUCAUGGCAGAGCUGCUACCCGGAGCGGCUGGGGAGGGUGCUCCUGAUCCACGUUCCCUACGUGAUCAUGGCGGCAUGGAAGAUGUUGUACCCCUUCAUCGAUGAUAAGACCAAGGAGAAGUUUGUGUUCGUCGCCGGCAGCUGGGACCUCGAUGCCACGCUCCGUGACUCCAUCGACGAGUCCCAGCUGCCCAAGGAGUACGGGGGCAGGCUUGAGCUUCGGGGCUACAACGAUUUGUCGCCACCGUCGUCGUCCAAUUAA
rnacentral:rRNA from 1 species